UACGUAGGGGGCAAGCGUUGUCCGGAAUCAUUGGGCGUAAAGCGCGCGUAGGCGGCCCGGUAAGUCCGUUGUGAAAGUCAAAGGCUCAACCUUUGAAUGCCGACGGAUACUGCCGGGCUAGAGUCCGGAAGAGGCGAGUGGAAUUCCUGGUGUAGCGGUGGAAUGCGCAGAUAUCAGGAGGAACACCUAUAGCGAAGGCGGUUCUCUGGGCCUGUACUGACGCUGAGGAACGAAAGCGUGGGGAGCGAACAGG
rnacentral:rRNA from 1 species